AAAGCAGUGGGAAAAUCUCUG
rnacentral:miRNA from 1 species